AUGCUUUUGAGAGAUUCAACCCCAAGUCAUUGCUCUUCAUGUUGACCAAUGUUUCUUUAUCAACUUUAUAAUCAAUCACUAUAAAUAAUGCGUGACUUAGCUGUUGCAUCCCUUCUUUUUUAAUAGAGAUAUGGUGGGAAGAGGCAUGUUUGGAAGGUGACUCUUACUGCUUAUUUCUAAUAGGAAAUCAACAACUAGCCGCUAUGUGUAACAUUUGGGAAAAUUUAAUCUUGAUUUAUUAACCUAAUGAGGGUGAUAAGUGAAUUAAUAAGGUGUGCGGCCAGAGGGGUUCAAUUGGUGCAAUUAUUGUGGCAAUUUUAGCCCUAGAAGUGGAUACGGAUCUAUGGUGGGCCACUCGGAUGAGGAAAGAGGAAGAAAAAGUGAAGAUUUAUUUUUGGUGCCACAAGUCACGAUGCGUGGUCAGUCUGCCGCGGUGCAGAGGCAGAUUUGAAUGCAAUGGCCUCCUUUGUGGCACGCGCUAUGGCAGACGGCAAUGUGCUCCGCAACGCACGGCCAAAAAUAUGAUAUAUCAGAUUCAUAUUAGCGCGAGAAAAACAGAAAGAGGAAGAGAAAAAUAAAGGAGCUCGACUUUGGCUCUACUAGGGCUUAUUAUUGGAGCAUAUUGGUGAUAGAUUGAAACUUUCAAAUACCCAAGGACCUUGCUCAUCGAAUCCGAGUCAGGAAAAACAUACAGAGGCCUAAGAUUGUGAAGUAAUCCUCUAUAUGCCUCUUUUUAGUUGUUCCAUGUGUAUUUGGUAAUAUAAUUGCCAAUUAGGAUCACAUACUAAUGUUUUUAUAGUACUUGCAUUAUUUUGUGCAAAUGGUGUAUUUUGUGCUAUGGGUUAGUGAGUUUUAGUUAUAAACCCGUGGAUAGGGCCAAAAUACUUGUGCAAGUAAAAAUAUAUGUAUUUUGAAAGAUUUAGAAUGAAA